rnacentral:rRNA from 1 species
UGAAUAGGAGAUGCUACGGCGUCGAAGCAGUCUAUGUCAUACUUCCAAGAAAAGCUCGCAAUGUCAGAAGCAAAGAAUGCCGGUACCAUAACCGACACAGGUGAGUAGGUAGGGUAUACUAAGGGGCGCGAGAGAACUCUCUCUAAGGAACUCGGCAAAAUGACUCCGUAACUUCGGGAGAAGGAGUGCCUUAUUUUUAAGGUUGCAAUAACAAGAUCCAAGCAACUGUUUAUCAAAAACACAGGUCUCCGCGAAGUCGUAAGACGAUGUAUGGGGGCUGACGCCUGCCCAGUGCCAGAAGGUUAAAGAAGUUGGUUAGGAUAUCUUUGAUAAUCGAAGCUGAUAACUGAAGCCCUGGUGAACGGCGGCCGUAACUAUAACGGUCCUAAGGUAGCGAAAUUCCUUGUCGGGUAAGUUCCGACCCGCACUAAAGGCGUAAUGAUUUGGAUACUGUCUCGGAGAGGGGCUCGGUGAAAUAGACUUGUCUGUGAAGAUGCGGACUACCUGCACCUGGACAGAAAGACCCUAUGAAGCUUUACUGUAACUUGAGAUUGAAAUUGGACUUUAUUUGCGCAGUAUAGGUGGGAGGCGUUGAGAAUAUUCUUGCGGGAAUAUGGAGCCAUCAGUGAGAUACCACUCUUGUAAUGUUAGAUUUCUAACUUUGGAUCAUGAUCUGGUCAAAGGACAGUUUCAGGCGGGCAGUUUGACUGGGGCGGUCGCCUCCCAAAGGGUAACGGAGGCGUACAAAGGUUUCCUCUGAACGGGUAGAAAUCGUAUCUAGAGUGUAAAGGCAUAAGGAAGCUUGACUGUGAGACCUACAAGUCGAGCAGGGACGAAAGUCGGUCUUAGUGAUCUGACGGUGCUGAGUGGAAAGGCCGUCACUCAACGGAUAAAAGUUACUCUAGGAUAACAGGCUGAUCUCCCCCAAGAGUUCACAUCGACGGGGAGGUUUGGCACCUCGAUGUCGGCUCAUCGCAUCCUGGGGCGGUAGUACGUCCCAAGGGUUGGGCUGUUCGCCCAUGAAAGCGGUACGCGAGCUGGGUUCAGAACGUCGUGAGACAGUUCGGUCCAUAUCCGGUGUAGGCGUUAGAAUAUUGAGAGGAGCCUUCUUUAGUACGAGAGGACCGAGAAGGACAUACCUCUGGUGUACCAGUUAUCGUGCCAACGGUAAACGCUGGGUAGCUAUGUAUGGAGAGGAUAACCGCUGAAAGCAUCUAAGUGGGAAGCCCACCUCAAGAUAAGUAUUCUCA